AUUGAACGCUGGCGGAAUGCUUUACACAUGCAAGUCGAACGGCAGCACGGGGCAACCUGGUGGCGAGUGGCGAACGGGUGAGUAAUACAUCGGAACGUGCCCAAUCGUGGGGGAUAACGUAGCGAAAGUUACGCUAAUACCGCAUACGAUCUACGGAUGAAAGCGGGGGAGUCGCAAGACCUCGCGCGAAUGGAGCGGCCGAUGUCAGAUUAGGUAGUUGGUGGGGUAAAGGCUCACCAAGCCAACGAUCUGUAGCUGGUCUGAGAGGACGACCAGCCACACUGGAACUGAGACACGGUCCAGACUCCUACGGGAGGCAGCAGUGGGGAAUUUUGGAUAAUGGGCGCAAGCCUGAUCCAGCCAUUCCGCGUGCAGGAUGAAGGCC
rnacentral:rRNA from 1 species